CCAAGUGUCAACAUGGUGUCUGCCAAGUGACUCACUAUGGAGAGCAGAAAGAUCUUCACUGCAGGACCAGGGAGGAGGAACAGAAAAAGGAGGCAGGAGGCAGGCUCCAUGACCUCUCCUACAGCUGGCCCAGACCUCCUUCCCAGGUGUGCUGCAUGUCACCAUGCAAGAAGGUAGGACAAGAACCAACUGUUCAAGAAGACCAGCCCAGAAGACUAAGUGCAGGUGACAGGAGCCGGCCAACUCCAUGAGGCACAGAGUAGAUCUGUUCCAAGGCAGCAGCCGUGUGGCACCCGGAGAUGAGCUAUAGUGGACUCCCUUCUGCACACCUCUUGCUCAGGCUGCUGAAGUCUCCCAUGAUCUGGCUGCUGCAAAGCAGGCCUUCCAAAAAGCCCCACCCUUGGAGCCUCGAAGCCUUGGGCCCUGGAUACAGAAGUGGAGUCCAGAGCAAAGGAGGCUUCCUUUCCUAAGAAACUCCCUCUCCAAAAAGGUAUCCCAGGCUAGCCUCAAGGAUAACCUUAAACUUCUGGUCCUUCUGGGUCCACCUUCCAAGUGCUGAGAAUACAAGGAUGUGCCACCAGCCUAGUCUUAUGUGGUGCUGGGGAACAAACCUGAGCCUUUGUAUAUGCUAAGCAGGUAACCAU